AAGUCGAACGAGAACCGCUCGUCUCGUAAGAGACGGACGGGGACAGUGGCGAACGGGUGCGUAACACGUGAGAAACCUGCCCCGAAGAUCGGGAUAGCCCGGGGAAACCCGGAUUAAUACCGGAUACCCUCGUGGGGUCGCAUGACCUCGCAAGGAAAUGGUCCGCCGCUUCGGGAUGGUCUCGCGGCCUAUCAGCUUGUUGGUGAGGUAACGGCUCACCAAGGCAGCGACGGGUAGCUGGUCUGAGAGGACGAUCAGCCACACUGGGACUGAGACACGGCCCAGACUCCUACGGGAGGCAGCAGCAGGGAAUAUUGCACAAUGGGCGAAAGCCUGAUGCAGCGACGCCGCGUGCGGGAUGAAUGCCUUCGGGUUGUAAACCGCUUUCAGGAGGGACGAAAAUGACGGUACCUCCAGAAGAAGGCCCGGCCAACUACGUGCCAGCAGCCGCGGUAACACGUAGGGGCCGAACGUUGUCCGGAUUUAUUGGGCGUAAAGGACUCGUAGGCGGUUUGACAAGUCGGUCGUGAAAACCCGGGGCUCAACCCCGGGACGCCGAUCGAAACUGUCAUGACUAGGGUCCGGUAGAGGUGAGUGGAAUUCUCGGUGUAGCG
rnacentral:rRNA from 1 species